ACGAACGCUGGCGGCGUGCUUCACACAUGCCCGUCGAACGGAAAGGCCCUGCUUUUGUGGGGUGCUCGAGUGGCGAACGGGUGAGUAACACGUGAGUAACCUGCCCUUGACUUUGGGAUAACUUCAGGAAACUGGGGCUAAUACCGGAUAGGAGCUCCUGCUGCAUGGUGGGGGUUGGAAAGUUUCGGCGGUUGGGGAUGGACUCGCGGCUUAUCAGCUUGUUGGUGGGGUAGUGGCUUACCAAGGCUUUGACGGGUAGCCGGCCUGAGAGGGUGACCGGCCACAUUGGGACUGAGAUACGGCCCAGACUCCUACGGGAGGCAGCAGUGGGGAAUAUUGCACAAUGGGCGGAAGCCUGAUGCAGCAACGCCGCGUGCGGGAUGACGGCCUUCGGGUUGUAAACCGCCUUCGCCUGUGACGAAGCGUGAGUGACGGUAAUGGGUAAAGAAGCACCGGCUAACUACGUG
rnacentral:rRNA from 1 species